rnacentral:rRNA from 1 species
AACGUAGGAGACAAACGUUAUCCGGAGUUACUGGGCGUAAAGGGCGUGUAGGUGGUUUCGUAAGUCUGGCGUGAAAUUUCUCGGCUUAACCGAGGCAGGUCGUCGGAUACUGCGGGACUAGAGGACGGUAGAGGCGUGUGGAAUUCCGGGUGUAGUGGUGAAAUGCGUAGAGAUCCGGAGGAACACCAGUGGCGAAGGCGACACGCUGGGCCGUACCUGACACUGAACCGCGACAGCAUGGGGAGCAAACAGG